GCUUGAUUUACUGUAUUUUUACAGAUCGGGGUUGGACGGAUUACAAUACAAGUAAUUUAAUGUAAUCCAUUGGAUUACCUCGAAAUAAGUGUUAUUUUAUUUUUAACAUAUGCUGUUCCCAUCCAACACGAUGGAUUUUUAACCUAAACGGACAUGUAACGGAUACAAGAUAAAUCUGAUCAUCUCAUUAGUUAUGAUUAGAUGAUCAAUUGUGCGAUACUCUGCUUGUUGACAAGAGUUUCUUAAACUAUGGGUCGGGACCGAAAGUGGGCCCUGAGCAUGUGGGAGGUGGGUUGCAAGUUAUGAGUACAGCUACACACUGUUUCUUCAUAAUUUGGGUCAUUGGAGUACAAUUUAGGUCACGGGAGUAAGGCCAAUUUCUAAUUUGGAUCUUGAGCUGAAAAAGUUAAAGAACCCUUGAUGUAGAUUAUUCAAAGAGUUGGCAAAAACAAGUAGAUCUGUCAGCAAAGACAGAUUUUUGCGUACUUACAAGGCUCUGGUCACUUAUCAGUUGAUACCAGGCUUCUGAGAAGGAAGCUGUCUGUGGACGCUUAUCAGUUGAUACCAGGCAGCUGAGUAGGCAUUUGGUUUGGCAUGUGUGUCUUCCCAGUGUUUGGAAAGUAAACAGGAUGGAGCUGUGUUGAUUAAUUAAAAAUGACCUUUUGAUGUGAUGGUUCAUUUCUCAGUAAGUAGGGGUCAGACUUUUUUUGUUAAAAAUAAAAGUUUUGUGGAAAGCAACCAAGGAAAGCAACCAAGGAAAGCAACCAAGGAAAGCAACCAAGGAAAGCAACCAAGGAAAGCAACCAAGGAAAGCAACCAAUGAAAGCAACCAAUGAAAGCAACCAAUGAAAGCAUAUUUUUGGAGUUUGGGAUAUUUCAAAUAGACUAGAGCAGAUCAGUUCAUGUUCAGUAAGGGGUAUAUUUAAUCAGAUCCGGUUUAGCCGACAUCCACAUAGCAGUUGUUUUGAUGGUGUCAGAGGUGGAACUGCGUUAGAGCUGUCAAAUCCACAAGCAGCUCCUGGCAUUGUACACUGAGUGUACUAAAUAUUAGGAACACCUCCUUAUUGACUUGCAUCCCCUUUAACCCAGAGAACAGCCUCAAUUCCUCGGGGCAUGGACUCUACAAGGUGUCAAAAGCAUUCCACAUGGAUGCUGGCCCAUGCUGACUACAAUGCACAGUUGUGUCAAGUUGGCUGGAUGUCCUUUGGGUGGUGGACCAUUCUUGAUACACACAGGAAACUGUUGAGUGCGAAAAACCCAGCAGCUUUGCGGUUCUUGACACACUCAAAACGGUGCGCCUGGCACCUACUACCAUACCCUGUGCAAAGGCACUUAAAUCUUUUGUCUUGCCCAUUCACCCUCUGAAUGGCACACAUACACAAUCCAUGUCUCAAGCCUUAAACAUCUUUAACCUGUCUCCUCCCCUUCAUCCACACGGAUUGAUGUAGAUUUAACAGGUGACAUCAAUAAGAGAUCAUAGCUUUCACCUGGAUUCACUUGGUCAGUCUAUGUCAUGGAAAGAGCAAGUGCUCCUAAUGUUUUGUACACUCAGUGUGCCUAAUGCAGACAUUGCCAUUGGCUACACAGAUUUGCAUUAAGAGAUACCAUGCAGCCUUGUUUACACUUUCGAACCCAAGAAUGAUUAGGAUGAUAGGAUCCACAUGAUUUAUUUGAAUGAUUUUUCCAUUUGAGCGUCAUUUCUAUAUAGUCUAGACUUUCUCGUUCUGAACUUAUAACACAAGUGUGUGGCUUCGUGACAUUGAUGGCAAGAGCAGCCACUCACGGAUCUAACACAGUUCCAACACCACCAUCCGCUAUGCAGCUGUCUGCUGUCGCCUUAACACUUGAUCUGAUUGAAUCUAGGUCAAAACAUUUUGGGGAACUGAAAGGACAAUCUUCCAUUCCCACUGAAAGUCACCAAGGACGCUGUUGUUUCUAAACCACCAUGCCAUUUGGGUCCUGGUGGAAAGUAGUGCACUACGUAGGGAAUAAGGUGCUAUUUUGUCCCUGAUGUAGACAAAUGUGAUCGCUAUCAUGGGUUUGUCAUGAAAUAACCUCUACGCUCCUGUCCCCAAGGAUGGAAGAAGUUUAAGUCCAGUUUGUAUUACCUCUCUACUGAGAAGAAAUCCUGGACAGAGAGCAGGCAGGACUGUCUGGGACGAGGAGCACACCUGGUGAUCAUUAACAGCAAAGAGGAACAGGAAUUUAUCCAUGAAUGGAGUGGAUGCCUGGAAAUCUAUCUUGGUUUCCAUGACACCAAUACAGAGGGGGUUUGGGAGUGGAUUAACGAUGGCGCAUUAGACCAAUCAUCAGCUCCUGUCACUACGUAUUGGAGGGAUGGGGAACCAAACGAUGCAAAUCAGGGUGAAGACUGCGCUCAUCUCUCAAAGAUGGCAUCAGACCCACUAAAGAGUUGGAACGACGUACCAUGCACAAUGAAUAAGCACUGGAUGUGUGAGAAGACAACGUCCACAUUGUAAUUAUGUGUUUAGAGUUUUGAAACAUGAGACAUUUUGAUGAUCUGUUUUAGAUGUUUGUGUUAAACUCAUUCUUGUGAAAAUUUGGCAAAGUGAUUGGGGGAAAAAACAUAGGUAAAUUGACCCUUAUCUGAGCAUGGUGGGCUAACACACUCUGUGGUGGGCUAACACACUCUGUGGUGGGCUAACACACUCUGUGGUGGGCUAACACAGUCUGUUCUUGCACAUAUGACCCUGGUUCAAAACCCAGCCGGCUACAUAAACAGCCUAAAAUUCUCAUUUGGAUAUCCAAUGUGACUAGAUUAUGUUUUAUUUUGUAAUGAAAUCCCAACAUUAUAUUAUCAGAAACUGUUAUGGAUUUAAGUGGACUGGCGAAGCAGCUUAAGUAAUAGAAAUCCUGAUGUAUUAGCAAAGAAACGUAACAGCUUAUUAUUUAACAGUACAAAGUUAGUAUAAACCAUGUAUGCUGUAUUGGUAAUAUAAUGGCUCAGUAUAGACCAUGUAUGCUGUCCUGGUAAUAUAAUGGCUCAGUAUAGACCAUGUAUGCUGUAUUGGUAAUAUAAUGGGGCACUAUAGACCAUGUAUGCUGUACUGGUAAUAUAAUGGCUCAGUAUAGACCAUGUAUGCUGUAACUGGUAAUAUAAUGGGGCACUAUAGACCAUGUAUGCUGUACUGGUAAUAUAAUGGCUCAGUAUAGACCAUGUAUGCUGUAUUGGUAAUAUAAUGGGGCACUAUAGACCAUG